CCUACGUGUGGCAGCAGUGGGGAAUAUUGCACAAUGGGGGAAACCCUGAUGCAGCGACGCCGCGUGAGUGAAGAAGUAUUUCGGUACGUAAAGCUCUAUCAGCAGGGAAGAAAAUGACGGUACCUGACCAAGAAGCCCCGGCUAACUACGUGCCAGCAGCCGCGGUAAUACGUAGGGGGCAAGCGUUAUCCGGAUUUACUGGGUGUAAAGGGAGCGUAGACGGCAGCGCAAGUCUGGAGUGAAAUGCCGGGGCCCAACCCCGGAACUGCUUUGGAAACUGUGCAGCUGGAGUGCAGGAGAGGUAAGCGGAAUUCCUAGUGUAGCGGUGAAAUGCGUAGAUAUUAGGAGGAACACCGGCGGCGAAGGCGGCCUGCUGGACCGCGACUGACGUUGAGGCUCGAAAGCGUGGGGAGCGAACAGGAUUAGAUACCCCUGUAGUC
rnacentral:rRNA from 1 species